UUUAAGGUCUAGCCUGCCCAAUGAGGGUUUUAAUGGCCGCAGUAUUUUGACUGUGCAAAGGUAGCAUAAUUAUUAGUUUUUUAAUUGAAAGCUUGUAUGAAGGGUUGGACGAGAUAAAAUCUGUCUUUAUUUAAAUUAAAAUAUAAUUUAACUUUUAAGUAAAAAGGCUUAAAUGUUUGUAAAAGACGAGAAGACCCUAUAGAUCUUUAUUUAAUUAAAAUUUUAAUAAUUUAGGAUUAUUUUAAUUUAAAGUUUUAAUUGAAUUUUAUUGGGGUAAUAUAAAGAUUAAAUAAAUUCUUUUUAUUUAUAACAUUGAUUUAUGAAUAUAUGAUCCAUUAAUAUUGAUUAUAAGAUUAAGUUACCUUAGGGAUAACAGCGUAAUUUUUUUAGAGAGCUCAUAUCGAUAAAAAAGUUUGCGACCUCGAUGUUGGAUUAAAAAUUAGCUUGGGUGCAGAAGCUCAAGAUUUUGGUCUGUUCGACCAUUAAAUUUUUACAUGAUCUGAGUUCAGACCGGUGUAAGCCAGGUCGGUUUCUAUCUUUAUUCAAAUAAAAUGUUUUAGUACGAAAGGACCAAACAUUAAAUAUAAUUAUAUUUUAUUUUU
rnacentral:rRNA from 1 species